rnacentral:rRNA from 1 species
AUACGUAGGGAGCAAGCGUUGUCCGGAUUUACUGGGUGUAAAGGGUGCGUAGGCGGCUCUGCAAGUCAGGUGUGAAAACUAUGGGCUUAACUCAUAGAUUGCACUUGAAACUGUGGGGCUUGAGUGAAGUAGAGGCAGGCGGAAUUCCCGGUGUAGCGGUGAAAUGCGUAGAGAUCGGGAGGAACACCAGUGGCGAAGGCGGCCUGCUGGGCUUUAACUGACGCUGAGGCACGAAAGCAUGGGUAGCAAACAGGAUUAGAUACCCUGGUAGUCCAUGCCGUAAACGAUGAUUACUAGGUGUGGGGGGUCUGACCCCUUCCGUGCCGGAGUUAACACAAUAAGUAAUCCACCUGGGGAGUACGACCGCAAGGUUGAA